GGCAAGCGUUGUCCGGAAUUAUUGGGCGUAAAGCGCGCGCAGGCGGUCCUUUAAGUCUGAUGUGAAAGCCCACGGCUCAACCGUGGAGGGUCAUUGGAAACUGGGGGACUUGAGUGCAGGAGAGGGGAGCGGAAUUCCAUGUGUAGCGGUGAAAUGCGUAGAGAUAUGGAGGAACACCAGUGGCGAAGGCGGCUCUCUGGCCUGUAACUGACGCUGAGGCGCGAAAGCGUGGGGAGCGAACAGGAUUAGAUACCCUGGUAGUCCACGCCGUAAACGAUGAGUGCUAAGUGUUAGAGGGUUUCCACCCUUUAGUGCUGCAGCUAACGCAUUAAGCACUCCGCCUGGGGAGUACGGUCGCAAGACUGAAACUCAAAGGAAUUGACGGGGGCCCGCACAAGCGGUGGAGCAUGUGGUUUAAUUCGAAGCAACGCGAAGAACCUUACCAGGUCUUGACAUCCUCUGACAACCCUAGAGAUAGGGCGUUCCCCUUCGGGGGACAGAGU
rnacentral:rRNA from 1 species